AACUUUUGUCUGAUUCUGAACAUGAGCUCAAGCUAAUCAGUGUUCAGAGGAAUCAGAGUGGAAACUACAGCUGUCAGGCCUUUAACAGUAAAACCAAAGUAUAUCAAACAUCUCAACUUGCAUCCAUCUCUAUAGUGGAAAACCAACCAAGUCUCUCUGGAGGUGCCAUUGCUGGAAUAGUAAUAGCAUGUUUGUUAGUUGCUGCUGCUGGAGCUACUGGAGGCUUCUUCAUCUAUAAAAAAAAAAAAAAAGCGAAUCCACCAUCAGCUACAGAA